AUAAUCCAUUCCAGUUUUGCUGUGUUUUCGCCAGUGAGAGUAAAAUCCAGUCCGGUGAAUUUCACCAGCUCAGCGUUCCAGCGCUCAGAUUUAAAUACAUGGCGGACGGAGCCUGGAGUUUCUCUACAAAUGGAUGAACGCGGGCCAGGAAAGAUGAACUCUGGUCAGACCGGCUGGAGGCAGCGAUAGCUCCCUUUAUGAAGAGUUUCUUUGAAUUUAAUAAAGUUUUCUCUCUCUUAACAUUAA